rnacentral:lncRNA from 1 species
CCCGUUCAUAUGUCUUUAUAUAUAUUUAGUCUGUGGUGCAUAUCAUCAUGUUUAUGCUUUUAGUCUGUUUAUAAUGUUUAUGAUUUUUUUUUUUUUGGGUAUCUCAUAAGAAACGUCAUAAGAUUAGUUUGUGUUAAUAAAACUUGUUUAGUUCUUCAUUACUGUUAAUUAGAGUAUGUCUCGCUUGGACUGGACUAUUUCACUAUAUACACCGUCACUAUGUUACGAGCUUACGAUCGUAUGGGACAUAUAUGGAGACAAACCAAUAUGACUAAAAC